AUGUAUUAUGUCAUGGACGAACAUACUCCUAAGGGAAUUUGGGACAAGUUGGCAAAUCGUCAUAUGUCCAAGUCAGCGACCAAUAAGCUGUAUUUGAAACAAAAGUUCUAUGGGCUGAAGAUGCAGGAGGGGUCGGAUGUUGUGGAGCAUGCGAAUGCCUUUAAUCAGUUGGUCACGGAUCUAGCGCGUCUAGAUGUGAAAAUUGAGGACGAGGAUAAGGCACUACUUCUUCUUGUUUCGUUGCCACCGUCCUAUGAGCAUUUGGUCAUUACAUUGACACAUGGAAAGACAACCGUCAAUAAUGAGGAAGUCACUGCAGCGUUGCUUGGACAUGAGUUGAGGAAGCAAAAGAAUGCUACAGAGGAGAGUACUCAAGGUUUGGGGUUGGCAAUUAAAGGUUAUCAGCUCAGGAAGGGACAAGAGGCAGAGAAGAAAAGGAAGAAAAAGGUGCAGUGCUACAGGUGCAAGGGCUGGGGACAUGUAAAGAGGGAAUGCCCUGAACUGAAGGGUGGGACAAGUGCUAAUGCGGCUACUCAUGGUGAUGACUCAGACAAUAGUAGUGAUGUUCUCGUAGUAUCAAACAGGCGGUCAACAAAAACUGAAGCAUGGAUGUUGGAUUCAGCUUGCUCUUUUCAUGCGACGCCCAACAGGGAGUGGUUCUCUUCGUACACAUCUGGUGAGUUUGGUUUAGCCUAUGUCGGCGAUGACAAAGGUUAUCGUUUUGCUGGAGUAGGUGACAUCAAAAUCAGGAUGUUUGAUGGAGUUGAGCGGAUACUUCGGGGAGUCAGGCAUGUGCCAGGGUUAAGGAGGAAUCUAAUUUCACUUGGUGUUCUUCAUGAUGGUGGUAUGGAAUUACGUUCUGACCGGGAUAAGAAGACCAUGAAAAUCAUGAAAGAUGGGAUGAUUGUGAUGAUAGGAAAGAGGACGGCUUCACAUCUUUACAAGUUGUAA
rnacentral:rRNA from 1 species